UACGGAAGGCAGCAGUGGGGAAUAUUGCACAAUGGGCGCAAGCCUGAUGCAGCCAUGCCGCGUGUAUGAAAAAGGCCUUCGGGUUGUAAAGUACUUUCAGUCGUGAGGAAGGUGUUAAGGUUAAUAACCUUAGCAAUUGACGUUAGCGACAGAAGAAGCACCGGCUAACUCCGUGCCAGCAGCCGCGGUAAUACGGAGGGUGCGAGCGUUAAUCGGAAUUACUGGGCGUAAAGGGCACGCAGGCGGUUAAUUAAGUUGGAUGUGAAAUCCCCGGGCUUAACCUGGGAAUGGCAUUCAAGACUGGUUAGCUAGAGUCUUGUAGAGGGGGGUAGAAUUCCAUGUGUAGCGGUGAAAUGCGUAGAGAUGUGGAGGAAUACCGGUGGCGAAGGCGGCCCCUGGACAAAGACUGACGCUCAUGUGCGAAAGCGUGGGGAGCAAACAGGGAUAGAUACC
rnacentral:rRNA from 1 species